UACAGAGGUCCCAAGCGUUGUUCGGAUUCACUGGGCGUAAAGGGUGUGUAGGUGGCGCCGUAAGUCGGGUGUGAAAUUUCGGAGCUUAACUCCGAAACUGCAUUCGAUACUGGCGUGCUUGAGGGCUGGAGAGGAGACUGGAAUUCAUGGUGUAGCAGUGAAUGCGUAGAGAUCAUGAGGAAGACCAGUGGCGAAGGCGGGUCUCUGGACAGUUCCUGACACUGAGGCACGAAGGCCAGGGAGCAAACGGG
rnacentral:rRNA from 1 species